rnacentral:tRNA from 5 species
GGGGCUAUAGCUCAGCUGGGAGAGCGCUUGAAUGGCAUUCAAGAGGUCAUCGGUUCGAUCCCGAUUAGCUCCAC